UAUUACCGCCGGCACCAACUGAUUUUUUUCGCCGGGGGUAUUUCACUCGACACACACGCUGUCAAAGGAGAUAUCGUGGCCCCGCCUUGCGAGCCUGCCUCACUCCUCCUCUCUCGCCAGGUCCGUCUCCCUCCUCCUCUCUCCGCCUUUCUCUCUCUACCCUCCCCCGUGAUCUACCUGCCCCCCGCCGACCGCCAUGGCGCUCGGCGACCGCAUGACCACCUUCGAGGAGAGUGAGUACGUCUACGUCCGCAAGGACUCUUCCAGCUGAUUAUUUGGAGGUCGGAGAGUCUGCAGCAGAGGGAGCCUCCAUGAAAACUUUGAAGCUUGUGCAGAUGUAGAGAGAGUCUCUCCUUUUGCUCAGUUGGACAUUCCACUGAUUGUGCGUUGUAGUAUAAAUAUGUGUUCUGUUUAAAUAAAAUAAAGAGACAACUUGGCCUUUACGUUAA